AUUAAAGGAAAGUGAGCUUGUUAAAUCCAGAAAGCCAGAUUCUCCCUCUGUUACUCCUGCGUGAUGCAGAGGUAGUGUCCCCAGGGUGGGCAGCAAGAAUAACCCCGGCUUUCUAGGUAUGCAGCCUCUGUGCCUUUCCCCCUCGCUCCUCCCACUUUUCCCUCUCCUUCACCUUAGCUGCAGAUCCUGCCUACAGGGUGCUGCAGAGCGAGGCUAGUGCAGGAGUUGGCUACCAGGACUCGCAGGAGGAGGUGGCAAAUCGGGUUAUUUUUCUGAGCCACUUCAUUUUUCAUCACGAGUGGGUUUGGGUGGUUUUUUUUGGUUUAUUGGUUUUUUUUGGUAGGUUUUUUUUUUUGGCAGGGUUGGGGGCAGGCAAAGUGAUAAGGACUGCAGAGGAGUCUGUUACAAAAUCAGAUACGAUUUUAGCUGUCUGAAAGAGUUCCUUUAGGCUACAGGCAGCUGAUGAUCAAUGGUGCUGUUGGCAAAUGUGCUUCCAGCUGGCUGCUGCCUCUCUUGAGGGACAGUUUCAACCCAAGGCUCAUUGCAAUCGUGAUACCACAAGGGGCUUUCAUUUACUUUGGGCUAAGGAUCUUCUGCUGCCCAGUUCCACCAGUGCGAAGAAAAGCUGGAGGUGAUGUGGGAGAGUGACAACAGCACUGUUAUUGGUGAGUUAUUGGUUAUUCCUUUCCCCUCAGAUUCCCAUGGUGGGUCUGUGUAAAAGAUUUCGCUCAAAGCCCCGUACUCCUGAACUGUGGGUUUGCUAACAGAUGGGCAGAUUGUGCUAGCAUAGGCUUUGCCUUUCAGGAGGUACUGAAAAAAUAGGUUUAAGUGCUUUAAAUUAUCAGAAACCCAGCCUGUGGCCUGUGGCCUAGCUUUUUAGGCUUUAUUGUUUGUUUUAUUUUGUUUGUUUGCUUAUCUCCAAAGCUGAUAUAAAACAAAGACUGAAACAGCCUCCCGAAGGUCAAGGUGAGACUGACCAUCAUCUGAGUGCUGAUAUUCACCAGCAGCAAUAAAUCCUUGUUCCCAGGUGCUGGAAGUCUCUUCAGCUAGAAAAACAACAUUACUGCAGGGGCAAACAACUCGUCCUGGCCUUCACACAGCCAUUCUUCGGGAAAAAGUAUCGCCUGAAGUCAAUAUGCAUUCUGCCUAGUGUCUAUUGAAUGAGAGUAGCACUUUGAAACAUUUGAUGGGUGAAAAAUGCUACAUGAGGAGGUAGGCAUUAUUAAUUAGAACAAUCAUUUUAUCUUUUAGCUUUCAUCAGAAGAAAAAUGCCUGAAUUGAAGUGACAACAACAAAUAAUAGGUGUUGGUGAUUUGCACUCUCUCCACCUAAAUCAGAUAUCUGGCACAUCAAUACUUAGAAGGCUUAGGAGAAGAAGAAAACAUCAAUAUUUCACUGAACACACAAAGUCGCACAACUCCCCACAACUCCCAGUCUCCAUUUUAAUGUCCUCCGUGGCUAGUUUGUUUUGGUCUUUUUCUGUCAGAUGACUGAUUUCAGUUUCUCUUUGAACCCCAUCUGUGUGAAUAGCUUGUUUUUCUCCCUAGCAAGUGUUAACAAGGAACUGCAAGGAUUUUGUUCAGGCUCACCAGUCAGGCAACCCUGAGGUGGCUGACUUCUAGGAAAAGCCACAGCAGGAACAAGCAAGAGCCAGCCUACGCACCAGGCACAGCUUUUGCUGGUCUUUAGUUUAUGUUCCAACUCGUGCUCGUGUUAAAUGAAUCGCCAUUAGCAACUGCAAUACAGACAAACGCAAGGAAGAACAAGCUGGACGCUUUAUCACGGAGCUACGCUUGGAAUUGAUGGCCCAUUGUAACGCAGACUCACCCACCACAGUGGAGCUGUUCCAGCUCACGGCAAUUUAGGACUUGCUGCGCUCACUUUAGCCCAUGCUCUGAAGUUCCUGAUCUUAUCCUUUAUGUGAACUAGAUCAUGCAAAUGGGGGCACCGGAGUCGCAGGGAAGUCGAGUAGAGUUCCACAUGAGCACUGGUGUGAGAAGGAGCAGCAAUUAGCUCUAAACUCACUCUGCCGGCCUGUCGUUUCCGAGCUCUGCCCCUGCUGCUCUGUAACUGGAAGACUUUCGCUCUAGAAGAUGGGGAGAAGAACAUUUUGCUCAUGUUCAUAUUAAUCAAGUCGUCUUAUGAGCUACUGAAUCUGUGAAAUUGUAUCUCCCGUGGAGUUCAGUGGUAAUGACUGUCUCUGAUGUGGACUCUCUGGUGUCUAAUAAUACAGUUUUGUUUCUGCAGUGGAUGCACUCCUAGCAUUUUUUCUCCUCUGUCUGCCUACUUCCACAGCACUUGUAGGCAGUUUAAACCUUUGAAACUUCUAUCCCCUGUCAAGUUUGAUCAAACUCAGCUCACAAGCUCAAAAAAUUAUUUAGGAGGGACCGACUGGCACUUGCACAAGACAGUGUGAUCUCAUAAGCUUCCUUUCCUUGGGAAACUAGGCUACCAACCUAGCAACGGGGGGAAAAAAUGCCAUCCUGCUAGCAAAAAGGACCUAAACACUUGGAGGAAAGAGGAGAGAUGGGAGAGGAAAGUGAAGCUGUUUUGAAGGGAAAAAAAUAACUGCCUUGUGGUUGCAGAGCUCUCAUACACUUAAAGGGCCAACCUUGGAGACACAUGCUGGAGAAAAUGUUCUCCAGGAGAUGAUAAGUUCUCUCGUGAACAUUGGUAAGGGAGAGAAAUCACCUGGACUCAUCAUACCACCAGGCAUGCUAAAUGGAUAUCUAUAUGGUAAGAAUUGUCCCCAGCGGUACCUGUUUCUCUCUGUGGACUAGAGGAAGCCACAGAUGCAACUAGCAUGCAACUCAUGUGCCUGCAGUAUCUAAAACAAGGUGGAUCCUACCCCAAAGGGAAUGGUCUUCUUACCACUCUGUCCUUCAGACCAAAGUUUUCCAUGGUGCUGCUGCAGGUUUUGUUACUUCAUGUACUAGGUUUGUAUGUUAGAAAAGCUGUUGUAUGUCUUAAUAGCUGCAGAUGCAUGCAUGGUUUUACUGGGCAUUUAUUAGCACUUAUCCUCUUUGCACUAAAACCUUUCUUGUUCUUGUACCUUAUGGAAUAAAAUUCUUUAAGUGAGCUUUAAUGAUUCUAUGAUUCUACUUCUUUACAAAUUAGGAGCUGUUAUUCUGCUUUUAUUUGCUAUCACAUAAUACUUGAGGCUGUCAAAAGUAUUACAGUGCAUACUCAUAUAAAUUGAUAUUUAAUUUCAGUAAUUAUAAUGUCACUAAUUGUAUUUUUUCACCUGAUGCAAUUACUGACAUCCAGCUCUUUAGAUCUACUUUGUUCUUUCUAGAUUUAGGCAUUCCUUACUCUUUAAUCUUCCCUGCCUACAGUAAAUUGUAUGCACAAUGAAACUUGGAAAUAAAAGCUCAGACCUUCCCAUCAAUUGCUGUGUGCCAAAUGCAUGGGAUAGUUUAAAACUGUGUGUGUACUUAGAGUGCAGGAUAUACUCAAAACGCCAUUGCCUAUUUAUAUGUCUUUUUUAUGAGGCUUAGAGUGGGUUGUGUUAUCCAAAUAUUGCACAGUGCUUAACUACUUGUACUGGCCUAUUGCUAAAGGUUUUCCAAUUUUUAGGAGGCUUUUUUUGCUUGUAGCCUUUCACUUAAAAUUACUCCAGGGCUGCUCUGGCAGCCCCUUGCACCUGGUUUCUCAAUACUCUUUUCCUCAUGGCCUUGCACUGGUGCAUUUGUUAUGUUGUAUUCCCUGGGAAAGGGUUUGCUUCCUAUACCUCAGCCAUCCUCUUGUCCUCUUCUCCUCUAUCUCAUUGCAUUGCUGUUGAGUUAUAUAUAAUUCAUAGUCUGCACUGAAGUUCCCACACAGUCUCUACUUGGUGCCUUCAUACCAAUGACUGCAUAUCAGAACAAAUAUUACAUAUAAUGAGUAAAUAAUAGUAAUUUUAAUAUUGGAUAAGCAAUACCUAAUUACAGACAAGUACAAGGCUUAUCAGCCAAUUAACGUGCAACAUUUGUACUUAAUUAAGCAUAAUCCAGUCAGUGCCGGUGUUGUCAUCAGACAAAGAUCACUGAAAGGCAAUUUGAGCAGGCUUUAAUGAAGGGUGUAAUUUUACUAGGGGGUGGUUGUCGGUACAACUGUUAUCCCUUGUUGCACUGGAGCAGACACCCAGGAGAGGAUGGUCACCUGAGGACUCCCGACUUCAUCUCAUCUUGGUUGGCUACAGUUUUCCUUUUAACCUUGAACUUGAUGUAUGCCAUCAGCUACAAAACACAUGAAUAAAGUAUAUGCUUUGUGUCUUUCAA